GAUGAACGCUGGCGGCGUGCUUAACACAUGCAAGUCGAACGGAAAGGCCCAAGCUUGCUUGGGUACUCGAGUGGCGAACGGGUGAGUAACACGUGGGUGAUCUGCCCUGCACUUCGGGAUAAGCCUGGGAAACUGGGUCUAAUACCGGAUAGGACGAUGGUUUGGAUGCCAUUGUGGAAAGUUUUUUCGGUGUGGGAUGAGCUCGCGGCCUAUCAGCUUGUUGGUGGGGUAAUGGCCUACCAAGGCGUCGACGGGUAGCCGGCCUGAGAGGGUGUACGGCCACAUUGGGACUGAGAUACGGCCCAGACUCCUGCGGGAGGCAGCAGUGGGGAAUAUUGCACAAUGGGCGCAAGCCUGAUGCAGCGACGCCGCGUGGGGGAUGACGGCCUUCGGGUUGUAAACUCCUUUCGCUAGGGACGAAGCGUUUUUGUGACGGUACCUGGAGAAGAAGCACCGGCUAACUACGUG
rnacentral:rRNA from 1 species